GAAAGAAGACGUCAUCACUAGCGCGCGCUCCCUCAGUCAGCGUCGAGUCUUGUGAGAAAUUAAUGUUCAGUGAAGCUCUUCCCACAACAAUCACAGCAUCAGUGAUUUCACCAAUAAAUGCUGGAAUAUUUCCAUCAGCCUGAGCCUACAAGUGAAGAUGAGCAUCAAACCACCAGAAAGCGCUAAAAUCUGCAAAGAUUGAAUUAAUUAAAGACAACAGAGAGAGGAUGAGAGAUCCAGAACCCUGCAGAAUGAAACGCACUGAAGAACAAAGAGAGUUGAUUGAAGGGAAUGAAGAACCAAGUGAAGUUGAGAAGAAAAGUCUUGUCAAAACUGAAGAAAAAACUUUGAGUUGCUCUCAAACCAAACAGAAAUAUUUAAA